GAUAGCUGAGAGAGUAUACACGUUUGCAACUAUAUACGUACCCAACUCAAAACAAGCACAAUUUCCCUGGGGGACGCUAGAUAAGCUACACACAGCUAGUCAAAAUCUACGGGGAACUAAUGGAGGCCAGGCGACAACUGAAGAACCUCCUCAUGCAGAGAUACCUCUGCUCGCUUCAGAGAUCUAAAAAUGUUUUCUAUACUCAUGCGAACAAAGGAGGGAAGCUCCUCGCCCGCCUGUUAAAAGGCGACACGCCGCGCACACAGGUCCGAAAAAUUCGCCUAUCAUCGGGCAGAACAUCCCAGUACCCAGAAGAGAUAGCCGGAGAAUUCCAAAACUACUACAACUCCCUCUACAACCUUCGCUCACCAGAGAACCCAACUCAAAGACGAGACUCAUCAGAGCACAUACAGGCCUACCUACAGGAUAAUGUGCGGACACGAGUAAAUCCAGAGGCUGCAUCCAUGCUC